UCUAGCAAGAGUAUCAAUACAACUAGCCACUGUCAUUUACUGUAGAUUCACAUAUUAGUAUUCUAACUUUGCUUUCCGUUCAUAUAUAGACACAUGUAUCAGAAAGUUGUCAGGCAGCUCCCCUCACAUGCGAUUAUUGUCGGUUAAAGAAUAUACCUCGAAAGGAAAUGAGAAAGCAUCUAACUGAGGAAUGUGAAGAAAUCGACGUGGAAUGUGAUUUUAAAUCAAUUGGCUGCGACUAUACUAAGGUUAGUGUUAUAGUACACUGUAUUGGUUGAUUUCAGUAAGGCUGACAGCACAGCCUACUUCAAAAAUGUGUGGACAGUUAAACCACAUAUCUGACAAGACUAUUACAAGACAGUCAUCUAUUGCAUGGCUACUACAUAUAAUAGGCAAUGCCAGCUUUUAGUUUAUACGUCCAGGGGGGGGGGGAGUAAGGUGUCAUGUUGCUGAUUAUUAUGAAAAAAUUAAAAUGAUGGCCGUGUUAACACGGAGUGAUAGCUUAUACUUGUAAAUAUUGAAAUAAUCAGUAAUAUGAUACCUUACUUCCCGUCAUCCCCUGCGCGCAUAAAUUAAAAGCUGGAAUUGCCUAUUAAAAGGAUGACCAUUAUUUCUCACUCUGAUAACUGCAGGUUGAUUACCAUCUGUUGUACGGCGAUAGUGCUUUUAAAUAGCGAAGCCUACCUGUCGUCCAACAAAUCGUGGUCAACCUGUAGUUAUUAUGGAGUGAGAAAAUGUUUAUUCAUUUUCAUAUAUGCAGAGAUAGAUUUACUGGAAGGUGGAGGGGUGUGUCUUUUUUUGGUUUUGCAAAUGGGUGGGGUACACUAGUGCCUUGCUGUCGUAGCCCACUCUAAUGAUUACGCACUUGUGAUGGUCAUGAUCAACGGUCGAACCCAGAACGAUGGCCAAUGGUCAAUCAGUACACACCCUACGCCAGUGAACUCUAUAUAAUCUGGAACGAUAAGUCAGGGGGGAAAUUGAAGAAAACUUUUUGUUUACUUUGCAGGUAGCCCCAGUCCUUUUUUAUUUUUUUUUCCAAAAUAUGCACAUUUUUUGAUCAGAUUAAAUUUGUAUCACCACCAAAUUAAAUUUAUAUCAGUAGUAUGAUAAACAAAUUUAAUAUUCGCAAAUCAAACAAAUCACGAAUUAGCAAAAAAAUACGAGAAAACACGACCAUAAGCAUAAACGGUCAGAAAAACCGCGCGUUUUAGGUUGGUUUUUCUGAGUUUUUGAAAGUUUAAGAUAAAACUAAGACGUCAAACCUCAGGAAUUAUUUAAACCCAUGCAAAAUACAUCUGUAUGCGAAGUUUCAAGAAGAUUGAACGUCUUAAGGUCGAAAAAAAAGCAUUUAGAAAUUGACAAAUAUAUUGCCAUAUUCAAAGUGCUUAUAGUGGCCUACAAGAAGAGCAAUGACGAAACUAACAUCACUUGAAAAACGCCAAUUUAUUUAUGUUUUAGAAGGAAUAAAACCAGGACUAAAACCUUAGGAUCAAUAACAAUACCUGGGGUUUAGUACAGCAUAAUUUUUGGGACUGUCAAAAUGUUUUAUAGUAUUUUUUUUUUAGUUGAAGAGCGAGUUUUCCUUCGACACGUCCAAACUUUCUUAAUUUUUUUAUAAUACAAGAGCAAAACUCCUUACUUUUUGCUGCAGAGAGAUGUAAAACAGUUGGAACUAAUCGGAAAACCUGGUUUGAAAUCUAAUUAUCGUUGUAUUCCCAUGGAAAAAGUAUUUUUCUUGCACAUUUCUGCUCGAAAACAAACUUUUGACCGAAUCUUUUUCACUCCUCGAAACUCUCCUUAGUCCUUUUGAAAUUUGAUUUUCCCGCGCGCGGGCUUCAACCAAUCAUAGGCCUUCAUCAUCUAAGUUAGCCUUCCAGUUCAUUUAUAGUUCAAUGCCCUACGCACGCAACCAUCCCCCCAAUUGAAUCCCCAUUCCUGUAUAUAUCUAUUAGUCUUGAAAAUUGUAGUUUAAUUUUCCUGCUUUCCAAUCAUGUUUUGUAUUUAUAAUACGACUUCAGUCCGUUAACGAAUAAUAUUAUUUAAUUAGGUGAGUAAAAGGAAAGAGCUUCGUAAGCAUUACAAGGACGCGUCUCGUUUUCACAUUCAACUGUUACUGAGGUUAAUUUCCAUACUGCAAGGCGAGAUGCAAAGUCUUGCUCCGAAAUUCGAGAAUUUUGCGACGAAGCAACUGGUUUUGGACGAAGUCAACGGAAUAAAAGAUGCAAUUUCGGCCGAAAUUAAAACCAUGG
rnacentral:lncRNA from 1 species